rnacentral:rRNA from 1 species
ACGAACGCUGGCGGCAUGCCUAACCCAUGCAAGUCGAACGCGACCUUCGGGUCUAGUGGCGCACGGGUGCGUAACGCGUGGGAACCUGCCCUUAGGUUCGGAAUAACUCCCCGAAAGGGGUGCUAAUACCGGAUAAUGUCUUCGGACCAAAGAUUUAUCGCCUUUGGAUGGGCCCGCGUUGGAUUAGCUAGUUGGUAGGGUAAAAGCCUACCAAGGCGACGAUCCAUAGCUGGUCUGAGAGGAUGAUCAGCCACACUGGGACUGAGACACGGCCCAGACUCCUACGGGAGGCAGCAGUGGGGAAUAUUGGACAAUGGGCGAAAGCCUGAUCCAGCAAUGCCGCGUGAGUGAUGAAGGCCUUAGGGUUGUAAAGCUCUUUUACCCGGGAUGAUAAUGACAGUACCGGGAGAAUAAGCUCCGGCUAACUCCGUG